rfam:Schistosoma rodhaini strain Burundi genome assembly, scaffold: SROB_scaffold0003659
AUCCAAUCGACGAGUCCCACAUAGGAUGAAAUGCGAGUCCUGGAU